GACGUAGGAUGCAAGCGUUGUCCGGAUUUAUUGGGCGUAAAGAGUUCGUAGGCGGUUCGUUAAGUCUGAUGUUAAAGAUCGGGGCUCAACCUCGGGAGUGCAUUGGAUACUGGCGGACUGGAGUGUGGUAGAGGCUAGUGGAAUUCACGGUGUAGCAGUGAAAUGCGUAGAUAUCGUGAGGAACACCAGAGGCGAAGGCGGCUACCUGGACAAUUGCUGACGCUCAGGCACGAAAGCGUGGGGAGCAAAAGGG
rnacentral:rRNA from 1 species